AUGAACGCUGGCGGCGUGCCUAAUACAUGCAAGUCGAACGCACAGCGAAAGGUGCUUGCACUUUCAAGUGAGUGGCGAACGGGUGAGUAACACGUGGAUAACCUACCUCAAGGUUGGGGAUAACAUUUGGAAACAGAUGCUAAUACCGAAUAAAACUUCGUAUCGCAUGAUACAGGUUAAAAGGCGCUACGGCGUCACCUAGAGAUGGAUCCGCGGUGCAUUAGUUAGUUGGUGGGGUAAAGGCCUACCAAGACAAUGAUGCAUAGCCGAGUUGAGAGACUGAUCGGCCACAUUGGGACUGAGACACGGCCCAAACUCCUACGGGAGGCUGCAGUAGGGAAUCUUCCACAAUGGGCGAAAGCCUGAUGGAGCAACGCCGCGUGUGUGAUGAAGGCUUUCGGGUCGUAAAGCACUGUUGUAUGGGAAGAACAGCUAGAGUAGGGAAUGACUUUAGUUUGACGGUACCAUACCAGAAAGGGACGGCUAAAUACGUG
rnacentral:rRNA from 1 species